ACUUUUCCAAGAUUGGGGGUGUGGGGGGUCCAAACUGCCCCCCUCCCCAAAAUCUCCCACUCCUUGUGAGAUUUUCAUCUGAUUUCUGAUCAGAAACAAACUUCUUAGACAAAAGAAAAAUCAUCUUAAAUCAAAACCUGACAGGCAUACUUGCUUACUUGCACUAUAUAAGAUAACUCUUCUUGAACAGUUGUCCAUCAGAGGCUUUCAAACUGUUCUGAAAAUGUUCAUUUCUAAGAAGAAUACAAAUAGUGUAUUCAGUUCAGAUUACGCUCAAGGUAAACACUGCCCUCUAGUGAUGCAAUUUGAACCUGGAACCCCAUUCUUAAAUUUUUCUUCUCCCCCCCACCCCAGACUCAAAUCUACAUUUUGGCAACUUUUGCAAAGAUGACAGGACGUUUUCAAAAUUGUAGGAAUAAAGUUUUAUUUUCCAUAUGAAGGGGUGAUUUUGGAUUUUUCUUCUUUUACAAGUAGUAUGUUUUUGAUAAAACUUGCAAAAAAUUUCCUAGCAUAUUCCAAGAAUGAUGGACAUGAAGAGAAGGGGAAUUUAUUGCUGGAUGUUUAAAAUUAUGACUUUUUUUUUUUACUCGUUUAUUGUUAAUAUUCUUCUCUCUCUCUUAUUUUUAACUGAGUGGAAAAACAAUUUGCUUGCUGCUUUUUCCAUGCACCCAACUACCAGUACCACUAGGACAUGCAGGGGGGGAGGAGGGAGAGAAAAGGGUGGAGCUGGAAGUGAGGGAAAGGAGAGGGAAUUUUAAGGUAAAAAAGACAAACUGCUUGACAAACAAACGUUGAAGGGCUGUGUCUCUCUCUCUCUCUCUCUCUGUGUGUGUGUAUUAAAGUUGGGGUGUGUGUCAGUGUGUGUAAAUGCGAACAGGUGGGUGGGGAAGUGUGGGGUGAGGAAAAACAGGGUGGGGACGGGGGAGAGAAGUAGUUAAACAUUUCAACUAGCUCUAGAAGCACACUAUCCUCACUUGCUGAUUUUCCACGUUGUAAAAUCCCAGACUGAUUACAGUGACAAUACGAUAGAACUAUAAGCGGAACAUUUUUUGGGGGGGAGGGAAAAAUACCCAAAUGAUCCACCUCUACUGGGAUUCUGAGCGGGAUUUGUCACCUUGUUUUUUGGUCUUUUUUUUAAUUAUUUUUUUUAAAGAUACUCUAUAUGUCUGGUCCAUGCAUCGUCUGUGGAAGGAAAGAAAACGGAACCUAAACAGGGGAACGAGUUCUAUGGCACACAGUGACGUUCAUCCUCAAAGAGUCUCCAAGGGGUGGAAGAGUUUUGGUCGGCCUAAUGUGAGUGUGCUGCUCUGUGUGUUCCAGACGAGGGGUUUUAACUCCUCCGCUGGUUGCUUUCGGAAGGUCCUAAGAGGGUGAGAGGAAGACAUGACGGCGGGAAAACAACAGCAACAACAACAACCUCUGUCAGGCGCCAUGACGAAGCAAAAGUAGCUCAGGCGAUCGAAAUGUCGGAAUCACAACUGAGGACGUGUUAACCUGGAUUAUCACACACACCGCCACACAAGUGUGCUUUGUCGCCUCUUAAUUCACGUCCAAGCUGUGCCACCCGCUACCGUGACGAAAACACGUGGAAGUUUGGAAAAGAAAAGACUAAACCAUCAGGUGCAUCUCAGUAAAUUCAAACGUCAUUCAAAUGAAUUCAAUAGUGAAACUCAUAUAGUCUGUCAGAAGCUGCGUUUCCUUUGACCAAUGAUGGCGCGAUUUCACGUUUCGAAAAUAAAUUUGCUCAACACGCCUUUAAAAAAAAAAACAACUCUCGCUUUUUGAUCAAAUGUUUUGCAGCUCUGGGUAUUUUUUUAUUUAUUUGACCGAAUCAAAGCUGGUUUAUUUUUGGAAAACUGCCGUGACUCGAUGGGACCGCUAUUCACGUCACACCAGUCACGAGAUCGACAACUGGACGUUACCACUGGCGCAAAACACUAAGAAGAAAACAGGAAGUAGUGGCAUGUUUCUAACGACUCAUGUGAACAAGUUUAUUCACAUGUUAUUUUAAUUGGGUUUCUCAUUCCAUGGAAACACAGCAAUUACAAAAUUGUGGGGUGUUAUUGUUCCAACAUGAGCAGAAAUGUCGACAGAGUUUUGCGCACAUUUCUAGCAGAAACGAGGCUAGAGCGAUGCAGUCCAACCAUUUUGUUAUUGUUGAUUUUGAUAGCUAAUGAAAAACCAAAUUUCAGUUGCUUGGAAAGUUUGAAUAUGUCAUAAGACCAAUUAAAAGAAAAUCUGAAAUACCAUAUUCUAAGAAGGUUGUCCUUGUACCGCAGAGUGAAUGCAUUCAGUAGCUGAGCUGGACUUCUUUUGCAGCAAUGCGGUGCGGAAUGAUGGAAUAAUGGCAGCCUGGUGCAGUCGCACCAUGGAUGCUAAAGCAGGUGUUGGUACUACUGUAAGUGUGUGUGUGGGUGUGGGGGGGGGGCAAGUCCUGCCCAGAGCCGGAUUUACAAGGAUGUGCGCCCCUGGGCUGGAGACAGUUUUGGUACCCUAUCCGAUAAGGAAAUAUUCAAUUACUAAUGCAAAUUACAGUGAAUCAAUAGGUAGUCCUAAACACCAGCAGGUAUGAACUGAUGCAUCGUAGGUUUAAUACAUCCUCUAGCCAACAACUCCAUGUUGUUCCCAAACAAAUCUGCUAUUACUUUAUAAUGUUCAAAUAUAAAAAUAAUAAAUCUUGGGCCUACGUGUUCUACAUAAAGUAGUGUUUGCAAAACAUGCAUUCAGUAACAAAAGAAAAAAAUAUAUAUUGGGGUGCCCAAGAUUUUUGGGUGCCCCCAAUUUUUUGCGGGCACCCAAAAGUUGGGGGGCCUCUGGGCUACUGCCCCUGUAAGCCCUUUCUAAAGUGUGGUGUGAGUCCUGUGGGAAAAUGAAUAAGAAUGGAAGACAUUCUGUACUGACUGGAAUUGAUAAAGCACAGCAGGCUCACAUCAGCAGGAACGUCAAUCUGGACCUUAAGCAGAGUGGAUUCUGAGCCUCUCUGCUCUUCCUACAAACUCUGGGACAUUGACUUGAAAGUGAAAUGCAAAAUGCACAGCACCUUUUGUAUUUUUAUUGAUGGUCGUUGCUGGACAACUGUCGAGUCAGAAGUUCACUGUGAAGGCCAUAACAUAGUACGCCCGUAGCACGUUGGUUUUAUUGGCAUAAGACUACAUGAUGCCAACGCUCCUGCAUCACUUUUGCAUGUGAGAUACACAAUUUGAUCACUGGCUGUAAUCGAUGUCUUUUUGUUUGCAAAAGAUGGAUGCUGAAUGCUUUUAUACACGUCUAUAGACAUGUGCAACCGUUAUGGAAACAAGACAAAACCUCCUUGAAACUGGAAGCUUGCCAUACCUUCCUAUUAACUGGCCCACUAAUUACUUAGAGGAAUAACCUCUAGAUGGGUAUUUGAUCCAUAAAUAUGGGAAAAAAUAAUAACAUAAAGAGAUGGUAAUGUCAAGGUAGUAGCUUGCUCCGCUCUGUAAACUCCACACCCUUGAUCCCAAUUAAAACAGCAUUCAGAGCGGGAUCAAAACAGCUUGUUCAAAGAUUAGCAUGGACUUGACAUUUCACAGCUGACAGGGAGCUGAACAUGUUUACAUUUUAAAUCUUUUCAAAUUGUUUUCUGUGAUAUUCUAAUUUUGGUAACCAACAUUUUGGGCCGUCGUUAGCUGCAAGCUAGCCUAGCCAUUACCUUCCUGCACAUUUCCGCUCAAUUACGAUCUCGCUUCGCAGCACAGCUCUGUACGAAGCAAAGAACACAGAACAAGGCGCUUAUUGUAGCUAGCAUUAAGCUACAAUCACCAAAAUUCAGUUGAGCAUGGACUCUGAUGACAUUUUAAAUGUUACCCAGUCGCUAACAGGCAGACUAGACGCACAAAAUCCACGUCAUCGUUUACGGCUUCACAUUCUUUUCGCCAAUUGGCCCAGUAGAAAUUCUACUGGAGGUAACCCUUGUAAACGGGAGAACUGUCUGGGCGAGAUUUUAAUGGAGCGGAGAAGCACAAGAAGGCAAUGACCAGGCUACGAAAUGCUUGAAAUGCGUCGUUUUGUGUGUAAUGACUCUUCAUAAUAUAUGAGUUCCACUUUUUGAAUUGAAUUAGUGAGCGAACCAUUGUAAUUUUCUGAGCUGCACUUGUAGGAGUAAGGAGCCGGGAUGACGUCAUCCUCUCGGUGCGGGGUUGGCGUGAGGCAGAAUUCCUAGCAAAGCCCCGGAUGUGCCCUCAGCACAACGGCAUUCUCCAACUUCACCUCCAACAUUUUUGGACAAAACAUCUACACGUGCUCACUUACAUACAUACAUACAACUUUCUGAAUAUUAAUAAUCUUUUUUUUUUUUUUUUAAAUCUGUGAAUUUCCAAUCCCGUUCCCAACUUCAGCGCCCUAAACUUGUGGCUAUGAGUUUUCUUUCUUUCUUCUUUCUGUUAACUCGACGGAAGUGAGUGCGGGUGGGCGGUGGUAUGGGUCUGGCCGCGUGGACUGAUCUGAGACUGGGAUGACGGGGUCGGUGGAGGCGCCGUCUGCUGCGAGUCGUUCGGCUGUGAUGCGAUGGGGAAAGUCCUGAGACACAGUGCGGCUCUAAGCUGCUGGCAUAGGAAACGGGCGGGGGGAUGGGCAGGCAGUCCACGGGAGGCCAGAGUCAGGCUGGAUAUUACAACUGAACUGGUCGGGUUCAGUUCGGGUCGAGCGGCUCCCUGGCUCGCGCGAGGGAGCCGCUUACAGUGCAGUGGAGCUUCUGGCAGCUUGGCGACCGGCGGACGCGUCAGAAACUACGACAAGAUGAGUGACAGGCAGCAGACACGGACGCGGCUAAUGACAGAUGCAUGUUCAUCAGAGGAAUCCACCCUGCACAUCCGGCUGGACCGCCGCGCGGGGCGAACUCGUGUAAACAGACACCUUGUACACAGAAGGAAUCGAUAUUGCAUGAUGACAUAAUCAGAUCACAGUUCAAAAACAGGAAGAUCCCAAAUCAGAGCAAAACAUAAUAAUAAUAAUAAAACCCCAAACCAAAGCAAUAGGAAGGAAGAGGGUUGGUCUCUAUAAAAAUGAGGAGUCUUUAUAAGAAAAGCUACAAAAACUCAACGGGACCUCCGACUUCAGCAUACAGCAAAAGGCACCACAAUAUUA